UCAUCUCCCCUUUGGUUUGACUGCUAACUCCUCCCUAAGAGGAAGGAUUUGUCAAGAAGAUACCACAUGGACAACAAUAAUGCUAUAGUUUUCAUUCCUACCGCUAUGUCCUGGUGAUACUAACUUACCUAAAAACAGCUAUUUAGAGGGCCACACCCCAAACAGAGAGAAAGGUGAACCUAACAAUAAAUUCUGCAGUGUAAGGCUUGUUUUUAGCUCUGCAGCUCGCUGCUACAUUCCCUAGUGCAAUAGAACCUGGCUGGCUGCUUUCCCCCCCCAUGCUUUGCUGGGUGAAUAUGCUGAGGGGUCACAAGAACAAUGACUGUGAGGGUGUGCCGCACUAUGAAAAUCCCUCUUCUUUGUGACUCUAGGACCCAAUACAGUGUGAAUUCUAGGAUACAAAGUCUUACUAAACCAAAGCGCACAGAGUUCAAUAUCCAGUGUGUGAAAUGAAAUAGCAUUAAUUGAUAAGUGCGGUUUUCAUCAGCAAGUCAUUCGAAUGAAAAACUUUUCAAUCAGCUCUACUGCCAACAAACCCAAUAGCACAAAUGGCAACAAGGGUCACUACGGAGAGGGAAGUCCUGGACACAAUGCCUUUACUUCGGUCAUGGACCUGAUGCUGGUGGUGAAGUACCUUUGGUUCUUCUUUGAGUGAUUGUUCAUGUCCAUUCCAACCAGGUGUGUGCGUGCCGUGUGCAUGUCAGCCAGAAGAUUUUUCCUGUAGCAGCAUCCGUAGAGUCGGCCUGGGCACCCACUGGAGUGGUGCCUUCAUGGUGCCUAAUAUAGGGCCCUGCCAA